ACAAUACUGGAUCUUCAAUGAGUUACUUUCUAUUUUUCACUCGGCAACCGGCUGCAGAUUUCACUCGGCCAACUUCGGUUACUCCUCUACACCAAACCAUGUUUCCAAACAGAGUUAUCUUUCCGUGACCCGCAAAUUAUAUUUUUAACAAUGAGUUGAAUUCUAUUUUUCACUCGGCAAACUUCGACAGAUUCCGGAAAACCUCGGCAGAGCUAUAUAUAUAUAGAAACUAUAAUAUAGCCAAAGAAAUAUAUACUGACAGAUGUUAUCGACUUUCGUGUCAAGGGCAACUGCAUUUUGGAAGAUAACUGUUCGAAUCUUCAUCGCUUACAAUGGACCCGAAAACCUAUAUCAACACUACCAGCCAAGGAUAUCGUUGUCUUUGACUUUGAGGACGUCAGUUGGAUAGUAGAUCGUAAAGUUCAAGGUUUCUAUAUUUUACAACAUUCAUGUUUUGUCAACAAUAUGUUGUUGGAAUGGGAGUUUUUUGACAAUGAUGAUCGUGUAUUCAGAUGUCAGAUGAAGAUACAAAAGGAAGAUGUUGGAACCGAACCUGCAGUGUCUCUUAGUAAGAUAGGCUCUAGAAAUUUUGCAGCAGCUGAUAUCUUGUUUAAGCUCUAAGAAACACAACCAGUCAUAGAGGUUUCUGCUUACACUAAACCUGAUCAAGUGAUAGAAUCUGUCAGUUUUGAUACGUUGCUUAAAGAAGCGGAGGUGUUGAAGAAAGCUGCCGAGGAUGCAGGAGAAAACGUUACAGCUACUACAGCUGAGGGAACUGAUUCAGAAACUGAGACCAGUGACACAGAUGUUGAAAUGAAGGAAGAAGUAACAGAUUCACAGGCUAAGAAGAAAUAUCCUAGAAAACCACAUUACCGUCAUGCUGAUAGAUUUAUUUUAAAAGCUGCCCAGGCACGACUAGACGAAUUCAUAAAAGUUAAAAUGCUAAAAGAUCUACUGUUUGGACCUGCUUUCCCUCAUCAUAUCACACGCCAGAUUAACGGCUUACUGUAUAACCUCCCCGUUUCAGUUCGCUUUAUAAAUCAUUCCACUAGAAAUCAGAUGUACACCAUUGUAACGCAAAGUAUGUCACCGAUCAAAAUUGUCGCAUUUCUCAAAGCCAACGGUGGACAGUCUGGUCGCUUUCGUUUAGUCGACAAAUCAGAACUUCCGACACAUAAGGACAUUUUACCAGAACUUAAAAGUAGGGAAAUUUUAACUAAGAUCAAAUCCAAAUUUUAGUAGAAAUUUCAAUUUUGAUUGGCUAAGCACUAAAACCAAUCAAAUUGUUGGCUUUUUUUUGCUAAUAAAUAUAAGUGCUAGUCUAA